rnacentral:rRNA from 1 species
GUGCCAGCCGCCGCGGUAAUACCGGCAGCCCGAGUGAUGGCCGAUCUUAUUGGGCCUAAAGCGUCCGUAGCUGGCUGCGCAAGUCCGUCGGGAAAUCCACGCGCUCAACGCGUGGGCGUCCAGCGGAAACUGCCUGGCUUGGGGCCGGAGGACUCGAGGGGUACGUCUGGGGUAGGAGUGAAAUCCUGUAAUCCUGGACGGACCGCCGGUAGCGAAAGCGCCUCGAGAGGACGGACCCGACGGUGAGGGACGAAAGCCAAGGCCUCGAACCGGAUUAGAUACCCUUGUAGUCC